AUUGAACGCUGGCGGCAUGCCUUACACCUGCAAGUCGAACGGUAACAGGUCUUCGGAUGCUGACGAGUGGCGAACGGGUGAGUAAUACAUCGGAACGUGCCCGAUCGUGGGGGAUAACGAAGCGAAAGCUUUGCUAAUACCGCAUAAGAUCUACGGAUGAAAGCAGGGGACCGCAAGGCCUUGCACGAACGGAGCGGCCGAUGGCAGAUUAGGUAGUUGGUGGGAUAAAAGCUUACCAAGCCGACGAUCUGUAGCUGGUCUGAGAGGACGACCAGCCACACUGGGACUGAGACACGGCCCAGACUCCUACGGGAGGCAGCAGUGGGGAAUUUUGGACAAUGGGCGAAAGCCUGAUCCAGCCAUGCCGCGUGCAGGAUGAAGGCCUUCGGGUUGUAAACUGCUUUUGUACGGAACGAAAAGACUCUUUCUAAUAAAGAGGGUCCAUGACGGUACCGUAAGAAUAAGCACCGGCUAACUACGUGCCAGCCGCCGCGGUAAUAC
rnacentral:rRNA from 1 species